rnacentral:rRNA from 1 species
GACAGAGGGUGCAAACGUUGUUCGGAAUUACUGGGCGUAAAGCGCGUGUAGGCGGCCCGGAAAGUCGGAUGUGAAAGCCCUGGGCUUAACCUAGGAAGUGCAUUCGAAACUGCUGGGCUUGAGUUCUGGAGAGGAAGGCGGAAUUCUCGGUGUAGAGGUGAAAUUCGUAGAUAUCGAGAGGAACACCAGUGGCGAAGGCGACUUCCUGGCCUGUUCUUGACGCUGAGGCGCGAAAGCUAGGGGAGCAAACGGG